UAGGGGAGAAUCUUAGAUGUUCUUAGAACUCUGUAAAAUGUGCAGCUAGAGCCGACAUGGAUGUCGGCUCAGUAUGCAAGCAACCAUGGAUGGUUGCUUUGCAUCGUUAGCGGACUUUUGAAAUAUAUUAAACAGAGGUCUUAGAACAUCUUAGAUUCGUACCGU
rfam:Firmicutes bacterium CAG:882 genomic scaffold, scf239